AUUGAACGCUGGCGGCAGGCCUAACACAUGCAAGUCGAACGAGUGGCGGACGGGUGAGUAAUGUCUGGGAAACUGCCCGAUGGCGGGGGCUAACUACUGGCAACGGUAGCUAAUACCGCAUACCAUCGGAUGUGCACAGAUGGGAUUAGCUAGUAGGUGGGGUAACGGCUCACCUCGGAGACGAUCCCUAGCUGGUAUGAGGAUGACCCAUCAACUUGGAACUGAGACACGGUCCAGCAUCCUACGGGAGGCAGCAGUGGGGAAUAUUGCACAAUGGGCGCAAGCCUGAUGCAGCCAUGCCGCGUGUAUGAAGAAGGCCUUCGGGUUGUAAAGUACUUUCGGCGAGGAGGCGUUACUCGCAGAAGAAGCACCGGCUAACUCCGUGCCAGCAGCCGCGGUAAUAC
rnacentral:rRNA from 1 species